rnacentral:tRNA from 1 species
GCCCGAAUGGUGGAAUAGGCAGACGCAAGGGACUUAAAAUCCCUCGAUGGAGACAUCGUGCCGGUUCAAGUCCGGCUUCGGGCACCA